UUUUAUAAAUUUUACAUGCAAUUUAGAUAGUGAAUUUAUUGUUUCUAAAAUCAAAAUGGACGGAAAAAUAAAUGGUAAAAAUAUUUUUUUGUUUUAUAUUUUUAUUAUAUAUCAUAUCAUAUUAUAUACAUUUUCUUACGUGAUACGUGAUACGUUAUAAAAGCGUGCCUUCUACUGUUGAUUCAACAGAGAUACGCUAAUGGAAGGGGGGUGGGGAUUUUAAAUUGCUAUAUUUUAUGUUUUCAGCACACUAUUGAUUUAAAAUUUUGAACGAGUGUCAGUUCAAAAUAUUUGUAAUAUAGAUAAGUUGCGAAAGAAUAUAUUCGAGUUUAAAUUCAAAGCAUCAAGAAAGAUUAAAUAUAAAUAUAAAUUGUAAAGACCAUCGCAUAGCAAUAUAUGCUUUUAUAUCUUGAAUAUUCAAUCGGAAAUACUGAAACAAGCUUAAAAUUUUACUGCCAAUAGCUAUGGAAAAAUCAUUAGCUUAUAUAUCAAGGAUGAGGACAAGAAUUAAUAAACAAAAGAUUUUAGAACAUGAAACAGCUUAUGACGUUUCUUUUAAAAAAAUGAAUCUUAGUAUCGAAUGAGCUUUGAUGAUUAUAGAUUUGAAUUGUUUUAAUAAAUAAAAAAUUGUAUGCUUUGUACAGUAUUU